rnacentral:rRNA from 1 species
AUGGAGGCCGAAAACAGCGAGGUGGCUGCUCUGGUCGAGAAGAUCACCGGCCUCCACGCCGCCAUCUCCAAGCUCGCGUCUCUAAGCCCGUCCCCCGAAGUCGACGCGCUCUUCACGGAGCUGGUCGCGGCGUGCGUCCCGUCGAGCCCGGUGGACGUGACCAAGCUCGGCCCGGAGGCGCAGGAGAUGCGGCAGGACCUCAUCCGCCUCUGCUCGGCCGCCGAGGGGCUGCUCGAGGCGCACUACUCCAACAUGCUCACCGCCUUGGACAACCCGCUCGACCACCUCGGCCGCUUCCCUUACUUCGACAACUACAUCAACCUGAGCAAGCUCGAGCACGAUCUUCUUGCCGGUCACGUGGCGGCCCCGGCCCGCGUGGCGUUCAUCGGGUCGGGGCCGCUGCCGUUCAGCUCCCUCUUCCUCGCGAUGUACCACCUGCCGGACACCCGGUUCGACAACUACGACCGGUGCAGCGUGGCCAAUGGCCGUGCGAUGAAGCUGGUCGGCGCGGCGGACGAGGGCGUGCGUGCGCGCAUGGCGUUCCACACGGCCGAAGUCGCGGACCUCACGGCUGAGCUCGGCGCGUAUGAUGUGGUCUUCCUGGCGGCGCUCGUGGGAAUGACGUCCGAGGAGAAGGCCAACACCAUCGCGCACUUGGGGAAGCACAUGGCAGAUGGCGCGGUGCUCGUCGCGCGAAGCGCCCACGGUGCGCGAGCGUUCCUGUAUCCUGUAGUGGAGCUGGACGAUAUCGGGCGUGGCGGGUUCCAAGUGCUGGCUGUGCACCAUCCUGCGGGCGAUGAGGUGUUCAACUCAUUUAUUGUUGCGCGGAAGCAGGAGCAUAUUUCUACCGUGGGCACUAUAGGGUGCUCAUGGCAGCACGAAUGUAUAUGGACUACAAUUGAGGGUGUGGCAGACGGAGAGAUGUCAUUCAAGUAA